GUCCAUCGACUGCAAAAAGUAGCUUUGUCUGUUGAUCCUGCUUCAUAUUUAAUGCCUUGCUACGAGCUUUCCAUACGUAUGCUGAGAGGGCUUCGAAUGUGGUGCACUUUUCUAGAUUCCCAUCUUCUAGUGCAUUCUUUCUUAGGUGCUCGAGCUUCUCCGAGUCGAAACAGAAUGACUUAUAGAGCAUUUCUUCUUUGUAAAGUUCAGUUGUGCUUGAUAUAUCUUCAAUCUCAGCAUAUUCAUGAUGUGGGAAUUCCAACUUGGGUGGAUUUCUGGCUUUGAGAAUGCUUCUGUCCAUGAAUGGAGGAACCUUAAGUUUAAGGCCUCUGGCAGUUUCACCCCAAGAAUUCACAAAUUCCAUGGCACCAAUCCCAUCAAACAUGCAAUGGUUCAUGCACAGGCCAAGAACAAAGCCUCCACAUUUGAAUUUUGUGACCUGAAAGCAAGUUAGCCCUUAAUAAGGAUGUCUAGGAUGAGCACGGAAUGGUUGGCAUGCUAGAUUGAACAGUACUCGAUAAAAUUAAAGAAUAAAAAGAAGUUUGAAUAUUGUUCGGUUUUAUGUAAAUAAUAUCGUCUAAUACUGCAUAUCAAACAUGAAACUCUAUACCCUAUGAGAUAGAUGAUAAGAUACACGAACGACACUUAGCAAAAAGAAUCAUUCUUAGGCUGGAUAUGUCAAACUCGAGUUUGUUAAUAAUCUUGCAAAUUCAAGCUUCAGACGAUAUGUAAGGACGCAAAACUAAGUUAAUAUAGAUUCUAUCAUCCAAUCAUGGAGCGAAAAAUCUUCCAAGUUCAUCCUUAUGAAAAUUUCCUUAACAUGAAUGGGAAACAUCUUAAAUAAACCAAGCGAUGUACUUACUUGAGCCACCAGAGGAGGAAUUUCUAGAAUGUUUUUGGCACCAGGGAUGUCGUAAACUAGCUUCCCAAGAGUGAUGGGAUCAGGCCUCGUAAUGUCACCUAAAUCUUCAAGCUUACAAUCUGCCUCAGCCUCGACAAAUACAGCACCUUCCCCGGUACAGUCCACAAUAAGCUUCAUUUCCGGGCUAAUGGUCAGCCGUCCUGCAAGAGGAUAAUAGUGCACCAGAACCUUCGACAAGGCAUCCUUAAUCACUUGCACAGCAUCCUCAUUGCCCCUUUCCUCUGAUUUAAAACAGUAAAUUGUACGAACUAUAACUGCAAUAUUUUGAUCCAGAUUCGACAAAAAGUAUAGCCCCUUCAUCGUCUCCUCGGCUGGAGGAACCAGAGUAGGCUGCCCUUGUUUAACAGCAAGCUCAAACAUAUGGAUGCUACCGUUUGCCAUCUUCCAAACUCCUUUAACGUCGAAAACCUUGAAUCAGAAAAAAAAUGUUAGAGAGUAAAACUAAGGACACGAAAUUAGAUUAUGCAUUCAUCCACGUAAAAAAAGCAUUAAAACAUAAGAAACUAGAAAGAUGCCUGUUAAGCAGAAGUAUAUGACAAUUGCCCGGAUUCAAAAACUAAGAUUAAUGUAUUAACAAGAUUAGGAUUACAGCAAAUAUAUAGGGAAACGUAGUUCAAGAAAAAUUAAUAUGGUUAAGUUUUGGUUAACAAAGACGUACUAUUGAAAGGGACUGGUGGCAAUACUAGUUCAUAAACAAUGCUAUUAAAAUGGAAAAGUCUUAAGAAAGAAAACUGGGUUAUUUUGAAUAAUUCCAUGAAAGAUUCUGCAAAUGUCACGUAGUUGUGGUAGGCUACUUGCCAUGUUACUUGCUCGGGAGAUUUAGAGACUGGAGACUAGCGUGGGGGUGAGAUUAGGUAGGGUUGGUAUCCAAAUUUUACUUACUUGAUUUUAUUAAAUUUGAUUUUUAUAUAUGCCCCUCGUCAUUUAUUUCCAGCAUAAAGAGAAAGGACAGAGUAGAAGAUUAUGAUCAAAUCCUUAAUCAAAUUUUGUCACCGAAAUGUAGGAUAGGAUUGUUUCAUCGUGGAUACUUUUUGUCGAACAGUAUUUGGCUCGUGGUAAUUUUUUUUUUUAUUUUUUUAUUUUAUGAUAAUAUGAUAAAAAGUCCAAUGGUAUACAGUUCAACGAUAAAAAAUUGGAUUACGAAUCUACAAAGUUAAAAUUUUAGCAAACUUACUGUGGUGGGUAAAUUUUCAUGAAGAAGUUUUUAAAAUUCCAUAUCUACUUUUACUAUUUACUUUUUCAGCAAACUAACAUCCUAUGUAUCCAUUUUUAAGUAGUGGUCCUUUUGUAAAAAAUUAUUUUUAACAUCCUCCAUAUCCAUUUUUAAAGUAGUAUUACGUUUGUAAUUAAUUAUGCUUAAGGGCAUCAUAAUCAUUGGUUGCCUAGGGCUUCAAAAUUCUCGAGGCCGGCCCUGAAUAUCUCUAUAAGAGAAUAAUAGGAAUAAAAAUAAAAAGGACCUUACAGGAAUCAAAUAAAAUCUCAUUGCCAAUUUCUCAAUCUAUAAUGCUCCUCUACCAGACCUGUAAAAGGCCUCCUCUCUCAUUUUCUCUCACCUCGACGGGUCUCAUAAUUAAAAAAAUACUCUCCAAAAACCCACCCCCACCCCGAACUGUGAGAGGGGCUGCACUACCAGGCCUCUUACAUGUCUGGUAGUGUAGCAUGGUCCUUUCUCAAUUGUCCCCAUAUAUAGAAUUAAAGUAGAACAAAAAAUCAUGGGAUAUUGAGCCCAAAAUUCACCUUCUCUUGAUGUGCUUCUAUUACUCUCCAGUAUAACGGGUAUUUGAUAUAUACUGCUGCAAAAUAAAAGAGUGAAAAUAUUGUCUCUUGUCCAAUAUGGUAUUGUCUAGCGCUAAUAAUAAAUCUUUUCUACACAUAUUUAGCACAUUAAUACCGAUUUUAGUCAACAAGUAAUGGAAGAAACAGAGAUGGGAUAACGGAAGGUGUUGGCAUAUUGGAAGGAGAGUGUACGACCGUACAUUAGGGGUUUGCCAUCAUUGACCAGGCAAUCGUCAAAAUGGAGGCGCUUGAAAACAUGGGGGUUGAUGAGUCGAGCGGAGCUGAACCACCCACAGUUGACAUGGAUCCUUGAAAUGUUGCAUCCCGCAAUGCACACGUUCAUGAUCUCCACGGUGUAUGUGGGUAUCCCAUUUGGCAGUGGCUCCGUGGCCCCUUGGCUUAUAACUAUGUCUAAUAAUGAACAGCUUUCGCUCCAUAUCCUGUUUGGAUUAGCCAGCUUUUCCUUUUCCUUUUCUUCUUGUCCUGCAAUUUAAAAGCCAAGCAAAUACAUACAAAGGAACUGCUCUAGCACAAAAAACACUGUGCUGAAUAACGUUAUUUAGUUCUAGUAAAAAAGCAUAUCAUGCCACAUAUUCGACUAUCCAGGAUUUUUUGAUAUUUUUACUUGUUUGAUUAAAUUUACAGAAUAUAAAUCAAAGUUCUAUUCAUUGACGUGUAACAUAAAUUAGCACUGUGAUCAAAUAUGCCUAUUAUACUUAAAGAAUAGUCCAACGUAGAAUUGUCAAAAAGUACCAAACCAUCCUUAUCCGGACCGCCAAAUAUAGACUGAGUAUGGACUGUGGACCAGGUCCCUGAUCGAUCACAAGCCAGCCAUGGAGCGAGCCAUGAGAUCUCAAAGUCAAGUGGUGCUGGGCAACUUUGACACAGACUGAACUAUAGUGUAGAAGGUGUUGAACAAGAUAUCACUUCUCAAGGUGUUAAUAGACAAAUGAAACUUCUGGGAGGUGCUGCAAAGGAAAAAGGAAAGAGACAAUUGAACCAAAAAGGGGUUUGUGCCUUUCCCGACAUAUUUAUCACGGCCUGUGAAUAAGUGCUUUCGAGUCAACCAAGCCAAAAGAAGCCAUGGAUUAGGCGAGAACAAAUAUAGGCCCUUUAUUUUUUGACAUUGCUAAUCUACUCUGUAAAGCUAACGUAACGUGCAACCGUAUUAAAUGUUAACUUGAGAAGUCUUAAUCAAAGCACACGUGAAUUAACUUCUACUUGAAAGCAAAAUAAUGCAGCCAAAUUCUUUAUUGCAUAAUUACUCAACUACAACUUUAGAACAACGCAUAAUAACCGGAAUAUAGAACUUUAAGAAGCGGGAAUAGGCUUUAACGGAAGGGGUUAGGGUACAGAAUGGCUCACAGCACUGCCCGUAUCAGGUCCGCCAUAAGACUGUACAGUCCAUACAAUUUUUUUUCAUAGUUUUUUGUUUCAUUAUUCUAUAAAAUAUAUGGGAAUGCAACAGAUGAAUCACGACACUAACUAUACGAGGCCGGUCUAGAGACCUGUGGUAACUAAGGCUUCGAUGGCCUAAGAAGUGGCCAAGAUGCACCACCCAAAAAGGACUUGAAGGAGUAGAUAGUAGGCUAGGAGGGUGGAGAGCGGUGGAGCAAAAGGGGCUGAGGGCCUGGUGCGCCAGUAAAGUGGGCAGAAAUGUACACAGACAACCGAGGGAAAAAAACGGUGGCUAAGGCUGUGUCAAUGCUGACUGGCGGUGCAGUAUAGAAGCGACACGUGGAGUCUUGCGCACAGUGGCAGAGUCAUGCCUGUGCCUGUCGCAUAUAUACAUGCAAAGGACAACGCGAAAAGCAGUCACACAGAAUACAGAAUUACACAUACACAUGCAUAUUUGUAACAGUCGUAUGCACACUGGGCAUUCAGAGUUUCUGUUUUUGGCCUCUUUGUUCACGCAUAAUGCAAAUCCCAUUAAUGCAGGAGGUUUAUCAGUGUAAGGAUUAUUUUUUCAAACUUCUCUUUAUCUAAAAACAUUUUAAAAUUUAAAAGAUAAAAAAUGGAUAAAUUACCAAUAAUUAAAAGCUUCCGAUGAGUAGCAGAGAAAGUGUUGUUCUUGGAAGUACUGUUUAUGCUCUUCUUCUCUGAAACUGGAUUCAACUCCAUUAACCCAUGAUCUGAAACUAUUUAAAAAAUCUUAACAAAUCGAGCAAGAUUAUUCAAGUUUUUGGUACUUUGAAAGAUAGAGAGGAUUUUGUCAUUUAAUCGUCACGAAUAACUUAAAUUACAAAACAAGAGCAGGACAGAAAAGUGGGAUUAAACAAGGAAUGAAGCAUGUUAUCGCUGAAAGAGCAGAUAAAGUCAAUGUGGAAACUCCACCAACCCAGUAAUUCAAUUCCAAUAUUUUAUAUACAGUAUACCCACAAAACAUAGAUUGAACACAGCACACACACACCGCACACACAAAAGCGCACAAACACACAAACAUGUGUUCAAUGAAGACUGACCUGUAUAGAGUCCCAUGAUUAGCAACAAUAAUGUGAGCGCAAACAUCGCCGUGAAUGCAGCGUUGCUCCGCCACCUUCUUGUUGAUUCGAAACUCAUAUUUGAUCAGACAACGUCCGGGCAAGAUUAUUACUGAGUAGGAGAAGACGAAUAUUUAAGAGAGCCGAGUUAGUUGAGUUGACUCGCAGAUAGCUGCUAUAGCCAUAGUACAUAGACCAGCAAAUCACCGCCAAAACGGAACUGUAUAAUCUGCACAGUGAUGAAAUCUCAGCUUUAUAUUCUUCUAAACUUUGACUGAAAUCCGAUCAAGAGAAGAAAAUGCAGUGAAAUGACUGGACAACUGUGCAACACCAUAGCAUCAAACGAUUAAUUUUUCACAUCAAUAUAUAGAUACAAACUAUUACAGCGUAUAUACAUACAAACAUUAUUCAUCAGGAAUCAAAGGUGGUAGAAUUUAGCUCUGAAAGGAACAAUCACGUGUUCUUUUUUUUUUAAACAAAGAAGUAUGUGCUUAUGUAAAAGAAGAAGAAUGGGAAUUUCAAAUACCUCGGGAAUUUUCACAGAACAAAUUCAUCAAUAAAAGUAAGUUUCCCAAAACAGUUAAAGGCAGAAUCCCAGGAAAAGUGCCGAGUUGAAAUUCCAUCUCAAUGGUGUUGUUCCUUUCCAAUUUAAUGCAGACCCACGAGGAAAAAAAAUUAAAAAGUGAUGAUAUACUGAAUUAAGUAUGAAUAUUUGUUUAUAUAUAUGCAUUUGCAUGUAGAUACAUAUAUAUACACAUGGAAAUAAGGCAUUUAAAGUCCUAUGAAAUGCAGCGUUUGUUAUAUAAUUUUCACCUUUGAUUUUGGAGAAAGAAUUUUUAGAGAGAACGCGUCAAUUGCAAUUCCCAACUAAGAGCAUUUGGCUACAGAGUGUAAGAUAUAAAUUUUGAGUUCUUAAAGCAAGAAAACUUUCAUGGCGAAGGGUAUAAAAUUAGUUUAGUGAACUCAGUAAGGGCGCGUUUGACAAUUAAGGUGUUCAUUGUUCAAUAAUUUUUUUAAGUAACUUUUAAGACUUUUAGGUUCAUUAUUAUACUUAUAAUUAGGAGUUGGCUCAAAUUAGGUGUUGAACCAACUCGUUUAAGGUUAUUCUAAUAAAUUUCACAUUUUAAGCUUUUAGACUUCAACAUGAAUUUUGUAUCUCGGUUUGUUCAAGCAAUGGAUAGCUCUAUGCCUAUCUAUAUAUACAAGACAAAAACGAGUUUAAUUUGGCUUUUUGAAUUGAUCAAGAAUGAAUGAGAACCAAAGAAGUGAAUAAGGAACAAAUGAUUGUUUGCUGAAAUUGAAUAAGAACAGGAAAUACAGUAUUGCCACUUUUUUUGUUGAUUUAGGAAUAGAAUUUCGACUCUGAACCUCAAGUGACAUAUUCUAGUAUGAACUACAAUGUGGCAUUGACGAUGACUUUACGAAUAAAUAACACGAUUCGACACGAUAGAUUCAAUUCAGAAAUUAACCAACAAAGGAUCAAUAGGGUAAACAGUAUUGAUUCUGUUCUCUUAUAUCUGCAUCAGCUGUUCAAAUGUUUUCAUGGCAGGAGCAGGCAAUCCAAGAAGAACGUUAAUGCUUUUUCUUUCUUUUCCAUGUGAAAGAAAGAGGAUUACUUCCUUUUCAGGCAAAACUACAGGCCCUGAUAGCACAGGCUCUCCCCAGCCGAAAUCAGUAGUGUGGAAUGAUAGCCUCGACCAUGUAGUGAUCAGCAGGGUUGCUGUCAAAGAAGGCCUAGCUCGAGUUGCCUCGAAAUAGUCUAUAGCAGAUCUCAUAUAGCCGUCUGUCACCAUUUUCACUGCCUCUUGAACUAGUUUUACAGUGAAUGAAAAUGGGUUGUCCACUAAUUCACCUGCCUUGCAGAGUGAAUUUGUCAAUACAAUUGCAUUGCCAAAGUAUCCUUCUGGAAUUGGGGGCUCGAAUCUAGACCGUCCAUCGACUGCAAAAAGUAGCUUUGUCUGUUGAUCCUGCUUCAUAUUUAAUGCCUUGCUACGAGCUUUCCAUACGUAUGCUGAGAGGGCUUCGAAUGUGGUGCACUUUUCUAGAUUCCCAUCUUCUAGUGCAUUCUUUCUUAGGUGCUCGAGCUUCUCCGAGUCGAAACAGAAUGACUUAUAGAGCAUUUCUUCUUUGUAAAGUUCAGUUGUGCUUGAUAUAUCUUCAAUCUCAGCAUAUUCAUGAUGUGGGAAUUCCAACUUGGGUGGAUUUCUGGCUUUGAGAAUGCUU
rnacentral:lncRNA from 1 species